GAAUUUAUUAGAAAGUAUAGGUUAAUAUAAUACACUCAAACAAAUAUUAUAUAGUAUCUACUGUAUAUGUUUCAUGUAAAUGAAUACGAAAAGUACUGGCUACACAAGGCUUCAAUUUCGUUCCAAUGUAUGCAAUUCUGGAAUAUUUUCAUAUGCUAAUCUAUUCUUUUAAAAAGACUCUAAAACAAGAGAAAAUUUCUUCAUAAGUGAGGACAUUUGCACUUAAUGUACUUUUUCGGUUUUAUUUUGAUAACUAUUCA
rnacentral:lncRNA from 1 species